GGCCUUUUGAUAAUAAUUUAAGGUCUAACCUGCCCAAUGAGGAUUUAAAUGGCCGCGGUAUUUUGACCGUGCAAAGGUAGCAUAAUCAUUAGUUUUUUAAUUGAAAGCUGGUAUGAAAGGUUGGAUGAGAAAAUAGCUGUCUCUGCUUUAACUAUUUAGAAUUUUAUUUUUAAGUAAAAAAGCUUAAAUUUUAGUAGAAGACGAGAAGACCCUAUAGAGUUUUAUUUAUUUUUUGUUUAAAAUUUUAAGUAUUGAAAAUUUUUAUGUUUAAAAUAAAUUUAAUUGGGGUGAUUGAAAAAUUUAUUAAACUUUUUUUUUAUAUAAUCAUUAAUUUAUGAGUUUUUGAUCCUUUUAUAAAGAUUAUAAGAUUAAAUUACCUUAGGGAUAACAGCGUAAUUUUUUUAAAGAGUUCAAAUCGAAAAAAAAGAUUGCGACCUCGAUGUUGGAUUAAAAUAAAAUUUUGGUGUAGAAGCUAAGAUAUUUAGGUCUGUUCGACCUUUAAAAUUUUACA
rnacentral:rRNA from 2 species